CGUCGUCCCCGGGUGAGUCGAGUCCUAAGGCGAGGCCGACAGGCGUAGUCGAAUGGAUGAACGGGUUGAUAUUCCCGUACCGGUGUUACACCGUUCGAACUGAAUCUGAGAGUACUAACCUUGAUUAUUCUGGUUGAUUAUCUUUCGGGGUUUUCGGCUGGUUUAGUGUUGGGACUGUAUCGGUAGUAGGUUAGCGUGGGAGUGACGCGGGUAGGUAGCCGGCUGCGGAGGUGGUUUUCCGUGGCUAAGCGUGUGGGCUGUCCUCUAGGUAAAUCCGGGGGAUGUUAAGCUGAGGCGUGAUGGGUAGGCUGUAAGGCUGAUUCCGGUGAUCCUGCUUGCCGAGAAAAGCUUCAACGUGAGGUGUGAUUCCGCUCGUACCCUAAACCGACACUGGUGGUCUGGUAGAGUAUACCGAAGCGAUCGGGCGAAUCCUGGCCAAGGAACUCGGCAAAUUACUCCCGUGCCUUCGGCAUAAGGGAGACCCCUGAUGGUGAUGUUUUUUACAGGCGGAGCUGUUGGGGGUGGCACAAGCUAGGGGGUAGCGACUGUUUACCAAAAACACAGGAGCGUGCGAAGGCGUAAGCCGCUGUAUACGCUCUGACGCCUGCCCGGUGCCGGAAGGUU
rnacentral:rRNA from 1 species